ACCAAAUCAAGGCAUACUGGGACUUGUAAUAAGUAAAACUGCUUUAGACUACUUGAUUAGGAGGGAGUUAGAUAGUGGGAGAGACUGACGGAGAGAGCGAGAGAGAGAUCGACAGAAUGACGGAGAUAGAGAAAGAAAGAUAGAAAGAGAGUGAAUGAGGAGAGUAGGGAGUAUUGGCUAUUAGUUGGAGGUAGAUUGGUUUAGUGCAUACAGUCCAAGGUCAGCCCAAGUGCAACAUCGAGUGUGGCAGGUCUCACGGCGCAGACGGAAUGUUUCUUGUUUUUAUAAUUUUAUAUCCGGGCGAAUCUGUCGACACCAAGCAACACCCAGCAACAACAACAACAACAGUCAAAUCCAUGGCCACAUUCAAGUUGCAACUUCGUGCUCGACGUGUAAAUAUUGUUUCAGGCUUUGCCUGAGUUGCAGCCAGGCAACUGCGGGCCGGAGAGCGCAAAAUGUUGCCACAGAAAACGAAAACGUUGUUGAGGCGCAUUUAGCGCUAACAAUGUUUGUUCUGGCUAGCAGCAUCUCAGCAGAACAACUUCAGAAACACCAAGCACACUACAUAGCGACCGGGUAUAAGCGACUCCGCAAUGCUCUCCUGAACUUCAAGCAUUCAACUUAGGUAGGUUGAUUGCUAAUUGCAAAGAAAAAUAUAGUUUUUAUGUGACUGAAAAUGCUGUCUUUCGAUAUAGUUGUCAAACUCAAUUAGAUAAUAAUUAUGGAUUCUGUGUGAUUUUUAGACUACAAAUUGAUUCAAAUUUUUCAAUGAUUUUGCUUCGGUAAAAAGUCGAUUCUUAAGAGGCCUAUGGACAUUACUAUUUUAAUCAUUUCAAGGCUUUGCCAAGCAACCAGCACCAGCACCAACGACCCCGGGGCACCACCACCCCUCGCCCACCAGUCGGCAUGCCAAGUGCACAUUUCAAUGUCAUUGAGGAUCGCAAAACAGUUUUUUCUCUUCUCUCGUGCAGCGAUUGAUGUGGGCUCCAAGUGUUGAAUGCCUCAUGGCAUAUAAUGUGUUAAUUGUGGCGGCCGAGACAGAUGUUUCCGACUAAACAGCUAACUGGCCAUUUGCCGGGAAUUACAAAAAAAAAAUAUAGAUUCUGCUUAUUAAAUGUGAUAAUCAUAAAUCAUCUUUAUGGCAAUUGAAAAGCGCGUGAAAUGCGCCGCCUGUGCGAAUUGUGCUGCUGUUGCUGCUGAUUCUUCUUCUGCUUCUCUUAUUUGCUUCUUUUUUUAAUGUAAUAAUUCUAAAACUAAUUUCCGUAACUUCAAAAGGGUUGCCUGGCCAGCCUUUACACCCCUUUUGGGUCUAAGCAAAUUAGUUCACUUUUGUUAUA